AAGUCGUAACAAGGUUUCCGUAGGUGAACCUGCGGAAGGAUCAUUAUUGAAUAUUCUUGAUGAGUUGUAGCUGGCUCUCCGGGGCAUGUGCACGCUUGUCUUGACUCUGUUCAUCCACCUGUGCACCUUUUGUAGUCUUGGGGGUUGAAAGCAGUCGACUAUCGGAUGGCUACGGCUACUCCGGAUGUGAGAAAUGCUGAGCGCAGAGACGCAUACAGCUCUUCUCAAAUGACUUGCAUACCCUUGAGUACUAUGUAUUCAUAUACCACGUCGUAUGUUGCAGAAUGUGAUCAAUGGGUCUAUGUACCUAUAAUAAUCAUAUACAACUUUCAGCAACGGAUCUCUUGGCUCUC
rnacentral:misc_RNA from 1 species